GCAAGUUUUCAAUAAAAAUGGAGUUUAAACACAUUGAGAAAUCAGUUGUACAUAUUACGUGAAAUAUAAUAAAAUAUAACAUAAUAAAAUAUAACAUAACCUAAUCUUUUUGAGUGAAGACAUAUCUGAACUUUCAUAUUUAUAAAAGGUAAUAUUGUUGUAAGCGCAGAAAAUAGAGAAACUGGUUUGCUUAGUAGUAAAAUGUUAUCGAAAAGUUUUUCAUCAAAAGUUUGUAACUAAAUAAGUUGUAGAAAGGAAAGAUAUAAAUUUUGACAGAAUAGUCAUAAUGUUUGAUUAU